UACGUAGGGGGCGAGCGUUGUCCGGAUUCAUUGGGCGUAAAGAGCUCGUAGGCGGCUUGGCAAGUCGGAUGUGAAACUCCAGGCUCAACCUGGAGCCGCCAUUCGAUACUGCUAUGGCUAGAGUCCGGUAGGGGAGUGUGGAAUUCCCGGUGUAGCGGUGAAAUGCGCAGAUAUCGGGAGGAACACCGAUGGCGAAGGCAGCACUCUGGGCCGGCACUGACGCUGAGGAGCGAAAGCGUGGGGAGCGAACAGG
rnacentral:rRNA from 1 species